UGUAGGGGUGUGUGUGUGUGUGUGUGUGUGUGUACACACACACACACACACACACACACACACACAUAUUUAUG